CGCACUUGUUCCCUCAGUUUGAUUGGCAUGCUUUUUCUCAGCUUCUACCUGGGGGCAAGGAAACUGCUGUAUCAGUUUUCUACCCUAGAGAAGAUGUGGUUGAUCAAGGUUAUACAACCUUUGGCUACAUGAAAAUGCAAAUGGUAGUAGCUCAUGGCGGGCGCUGUGCCGAACGUAUUGUAUUUGGUGAUGACAUUACUG
rnacentral:misc_RNA from 1 species